CCUACGGGAGGCUGCAGUGAGGAAUAUUGGUCAAUGGACGAGAGUCUGAACCAGCCAAGUAGCGUGAAGGAUGACUGCCCUAUGGUUUGUAAACUUCUUUUAUAUGGGAAUAAAAUGUUCUACGUGUUGGAUAUUGUAUGUACCAUAUGAAUAAGGAUAGGCUAACUCCGUGCCAGCAGCCGCGGUAAUACGGAGGAUCCGAGCGUUAUCCGGAUUUAUGGGGUUUAAAGGGAGCGUAGGUGGAUUGGUAAGUCAGUGUGGAAAGUUUGCGGCUCAACCGUAAGAUUGCAGUUGAAACUGGCAGUCUGGAGUACAGUAGAGGUUGGCGGAAUUCGUGGUGUAGCGGUGAAAUGCUUAGAUAUUACGAAGAACUCCGAUUGCGAAGGCAGCUGACUGGACUGCAACUGACACUGAGGCUCGAAAGUGUGGGUAUCAAACAGGAUUAGAUACCCUAGUAGUC
rnacentral:rRNA from 1 species